rnacentral:SRP_RNA from 1 species
GCCGGGCAUGGUGGCUCAUGCCUGUAAUCCUAGCACUUUGGGAGGCCGAGGCAGGUGGAUCACCUGAGGUCAGGAGUUUGAGACCAGUCUGACCAACAUGGUGAAAACCCGUCUCUA